AACGCGAAGAACCUUACCUGGGCUCGAAAUGUUAUGGACCGGGGUAGAAAUAUCCCCUCCCAGCAAUGGGCCGUAAUAUAGGUGCUGCAUGGCUGUCGUCAGCUCGUGUCGUGAGAUGUUGGGUUAAGUCCCGCAACGAGCGCAACCCUUAUCUUCAGUUGCUACCAUUUAGUUGAGCACUCUGACGAAACCGCCUCGGAUAACGGGGAGGAAGGUGGGGAUGACGUCAAGUCCUCAUGGCCUUUAUGUCCAGGGCUACACACGUGCUACAAUGGCCGGUACAAACCGUCGCAAACCCGCGAGGGGGAGCUAAUCGGAAAAAGCCGGCCUCAGUUCGGAUUACAGUCUGCAACUCGACUGUAUGAAGCUGGAAUCGCUAGUAAUCGCGGAUCAGAAUGCCGCGGUGAAUACGUUCCCGGGCCUUGUA
rnacentral:rRNA from 1 species